AUUGAACGCUGGCGGCAUGCCUUACACAUGCAAGUCGAACGGUAACGCGGGGCAACCUGGCGACGAGUGGCGAACGGGUGAGUAAUGCAUCGGAACGUGCCCAGUAGUGGGGGAUAGCCCGGCGAAAGCCGGAUUAGUACCGCAUACGACCUACGGGUGAAAGGGGGGGAUCGCAAGACCUCUCGCUAUUGGAGCGGCCGAUGUCAGAUUAGGUAGUUGGUGGGGUAAAGGCCUACCAAGCCUACGAUCUGUAGCUGGUCUGAGAGGACGACCAGCCACACUGGGACUGAGACACGGCCCAGACUCCUACGGGAGGCAGCAGUGGGGAAUUUUGGACAAUGGGCGCAAGCCUGAUCCAGCCAUGCCGCGUGCGGGAAGAAGGCCUUCGGGUUGUAAACCGCUUUUGUCAGGGAAGAAACGCUCUGGGUUAAUACCCUGGGGUAAUGACGGUACCUGAAGAAUAAGCACCGGCUAACUACGUGCCAGCAGCCGCCGUAAUAC
rnacentral:rRNA from 1 species